rnacentral:rRNA from 1 species
AACGCUGGCGGCGUGCCUAACACAUGCAAGUCGAACGAGAAAUUUCCGCUUCGGCGGAAAGAGUAAAGUGGCGCACGGGUGAGUAACGCGUGGGUAACCUGCCUUUGAAUCUGGAAUAACCCCGUGAAAACGGGACUAAUACUGGAUAAUGUCCCUUUGGCUUUGGCCUUAGGGAUGAAAGGUGACCUCUUCAUGAAAGUUGCCGCUCAGAGAGGGGCCCGCGUACCAUUAGCUUGUUGGUGGGGUAAUGGCCUACCAAGGCUACGAUGGUUAGCUGGUCUGAGAGGAUGAUCAGCCACACUGGAACUGGAACACGGUCCAGACUCCUACGGGAGGCAGCAGUGAGGAAU